GUGCCAGCCCGGACGCCAGCCCCGGCGCGCUGACAGACGACUUUUCUCACUUGUCAGUUUUCUCGCCUGUAGGCAGAGCUGCUGCUUCAGCGCCAGUGAUAACCUGCAGCUAUGGAGUCCCCGACCAAGGAGAUUGAAGAAUUUGAGAGCAACUCUCUGAAAUACCUGCAGCCGGAACAGAUCGAGAAAAUUUGGCUUCGGCUCCGAGGGCUGAGGAAAUAUAAGAAAACGUCCCAGAGGUAAGGAUAUCUUUCUGAGCUGUGAUUGGUUGAAUCAUUUGUGGCCCAACUCUUCGCAAGUCUGGCUUGUGGUGGACUGAAAUUGUAAUAAACAGGCUCUUGGUUGCAUCUCAGCAUGUUGCUUGCUUUAUCUCCCGAUCGCUGUUGCUGCUGUAAUUAAAAAUUGAUCGCAGGCAUCUAGUGUGGCACAGUAGGUGGACACCUUCACAUGAGAGUGGAUCCUGUGGAUUCAAAAACUUGUUCCUGCUGCGUUGUCUACUGAUUUCACUGAAACCUUGACCGGAGAGGGACUGGGCUGGCAGAGGCUGAAGGCUUAUGGAGGGGAACACAACCAGGUCUUUAAAUACACUUUUAGUGUCUGAAUUCCCCUUUGCCUGAUUUGCAGACAAAAUGCUACAGAGCUCAAAGUAUAAGUUCAGACUGCUUUAAGGGCAGUGGUAGUCCUUUGAUUUGGCUGUGGAAAGGGUUAUUUUAAGCAGAACACCAUCUGCCAUCACCCCCUGUGUACCAUGGAAAGUGAAUCUACAAAGAUGAGGCCCCAGCCUGGCUCAGGGCUGUGCUUUGCAGACCCUUGGAGUGAGGAGCCAUGGUGGGAUCCGGUGUACACUGGCCCUGGCAUGUGUGGCUAUUAAACUUUGGACUUACAUCCUCUGUGUUUAUAGUUUAACAAAAAUGAUUCACCAGGUCUUUGAGUGCAUGGUCUCCCAGCACCAGUGGGAAGCACAUUUUAAUUCCUCAUUAAAGUGCCCUUUGACAGAUGUUGUUUGCUGAUUUGAAGGGGCAGCAUGUGUAUUUGUGCAAGCAUACAGGUUGUUUAUAUGGAGAGGGUGGGUGGAUUCUCUCAAUAAUAAAAUAAUGAAAUGAGCUUAGGAAAUGUCAGGUACUUCAUGGUGGAAUUUAUUCAUUGGUUUAUCUUUUAAAAAUUAUACAUAUUUAAGGUAUAUAAUAUGUUUGAGAUAUAUAUAUAUAAACACAU